GAUGAACGCUGACAGAAUGCUUAACACAUGCAAGUCGAUGGGGAAGUGGUGCUUGCACCAUGGUAACCAUGGCGGACGGGUGAGUAACGCGUAAGGAACUUGCCCGCGGGACUGGGAUAACAGCAGGAAACUGCUGAUAAUACCGGAUAAGGUCAUUAAGCUGCAUAGCUUAGUGAUGAAAGGAGACGCCUGCGGAGAGCCUUGCGUCCUAUUAGCUAGUUGGAGGGGUAACGGCCCACCAAGGCGAAGAUAGGUAGCCGGCCUGAGAGGGUGGACGGCCACAAGGGGACUGAGAUACGGCCCUUACUCCUACGGGAGGCAGCAGUGGGGAAUAUUGGACAAUGGGGGCAACCCUGAUCCAGCAAUUCUGUGUGCACGAAGACGGUUUUCGGAUUGUAAAGUGCUUUCAGCAGGGAAGAAGGAAGUGACGGUACCUGCAGAAGAAGCGACGGCUAAAUACGUG
rnacentral:rRNA from 1 species